rfam:Camelus ferus unplaced genomic scaffold scaffold558, whole genome shotgun sequence.
GAGGAUAUAGCUCAGUGGUAGAGAAUGUGCUUAGUAUGCACAAGGUCUUGGGUUCAAUCCCCAGUACCUCCA